UUGCACAAUGGGCGCAAGCCUGAUGCAGCGAAGUGACGGUACCUGCAGAAGAAGCACCGGCCAACUACGUGCCAGCAGCCGCGGUAAUACGUAGGGUGCGAGCGUUGUCCGGAAUUACUGGGCGUAAAGAGCUCGUAGGUGUUUGUCGCUGUUCGUGAAAACCGGGGGCUUAACCCUCGGCGUGCGGGCGAUACGGGCAGACUAGAGUACUGCAGGGGAGACUGGAAUUCCUGGUGUAGCGGUGGAAUGCGCAGAUAUCAGGAGGAACACCGGUGGCGAAGGCGGGUUCUGGGGCAUUAAGUACCCCGCCUGGGGAGUACGGCCGCAAGGCUAAAACUCAAAGGAAUUGACGGGGGCCCGCACAAGCGGCGGAGC
rnacentral:rRNA from 1 species